UCUCUAUGUCUGGAGCUCUUGGAAACAAGACAUAGAGGUGUCUGGUCCUGAGAAGAGGAAGUUUUGCUAAAUGAGCGACACGGCUGACUCAGCAGACUCAGAAAACUGAGUAUCUUCCUGGUUUCUGAACGAUCCUAAGAGACAUCCGGUCCCUGACUCCACCUGCCUCCAGGUGCCCAGAACAGCCCAUCGUGGGCCCUUCACCCUCAACAAGUGGACAUUGAAUGUCCUGCCGAGGCAGGAUGGAGAUGGAUGAGGACCCGGAUACCCUGCCUGGCCAGCGGCAAGGCAACAUCAUCAUUACUAAGUAUGAGCAGGGACACCAAGCUGGGGCAGCAGUGGACAUGGGGCAUGAGCAGAUCAACAUCGGGAAAUACGCUAAUCACCUCGGGAUUGUGCAUCAGACGGAACUGCCCCCGAUAACAGCCCUGGAGGUGAAGCAAAGACACAAGGAAAGUAAACGUACCAACAAGUGGCUAAAGAUGUUUGCAGACUGGCCAAAAUAUAGGAACACCAAGAAGCUAUCUCAAAGAGUAUAUAAAGGCAUUCCCCUGGCGGUGUGGGCCCAGGCAUGGCCACGUUUGCUAAAUAUUGACAAAGUCCCAGAACCCAGGCAAAUAUAAGGUCAUGAAGGAGAAGGGCAAGAGGUCCUCCAGGAUCACCCACCACAUCCAGCUAGAUGUCAGCAGCACCCUACAGAACCACAUGAUGUUCAUACAAAGAUUUGGAGUCAAGCAGCAGGAAUUAUGUGACAUCCUUGUGGCCUAUUCUGCAUAUAACCCUGUGAGUAUUCCCGGGCAGCGAUAUUCCUGGGCCAUGUACCCAUAUUCAUAGGCAUGGGUGUCUCUUGGGGGUGUCAGCACUUCUUGA